UGGGGAAUUUUGGACAAUGGGCGAAAGCCUGAUCCAGCAAUGCCGCGUGUGUGAAGAAGGCCUUCGGGUUGUAAAGCACUUUUGUCCGGAAAGAAAUCCUUGGCUCUAAUACAGUCGGGGGAUGACGGUACCGGAAGAAUAAGCACCGGCUAACUACGUGCCAGCAGCCGCGGUAAUACGUAGGGUGCAAGCGUUAAUCGGAAUUACUGGGCGUAAAGCGUGCGCAGGCGGUUUGCUAAGACCGAUGUGAAAUCCUCGGGCUCAACCUGGGAACUGCAUUGGUGACUGGCAGGCUAGAGUAUGGCAGAGGGGGGUAGAAUUCCACGUGUAGCAGUGAAAUGCGUAGAGAUGUGGAGGAAUACCGAUGGCGAAGGCAGCCCCCUGGGCAAUACUGACGCUCAUGCACGAAAGCGUGGGGAGCAAACAGGAUUAGAUACCCUGGUAGUCCACGCCCUAAACGAUGUCAACUAGUUGUUGGGGAUUCAUUCCUUAGUAACGUAGCUAACGCGUGAAGUUGACCGCCUGGGGAGUACGGUCGCAAGAUUAAAACUCAAAGGAAUUGACGGGGUCAUAGCUGUUUCCU
rnacentral:rRNA from 1 species